rnacentral:piRNA from 1 species
UGGGGAAAUCGGUCAUUCAAGCUCAAGGG